rnacentral:lncRNA from 1 species
UCACGGCCCACAUUUUCACCCACGUUUGAAAAUUCAAUUUCGAAUAUCAUAUUCAAAUUCGAUUUUAAAUUUUUAAACCCCCAGAAAAUAUCUGUUAUCCUAAUAACCCUAUUCGAAAUUCGAUUUCGAACUUCGAACCAACUCCCAAAAUAUCUCUCAACCAACAUUCAUUCGAAUUUUGAAUACCUAUCCAUCCCACAACCCAUUCAAAAUUCAAUUUUGAAUUUCGAAUCCCCAACCAACAUCCAUUCGAAUUUUGAAUACCUAACCACCCAACAACCGAUUCAAAAUUCGAUUUCGAAUUUUGAAUCCCUAACCGACUCUCCAAAAUAUCCUUCAACCAUCCAUCAACUCAUUCAAAAUUCGAUUUCGAAUUUCGAAUCCCUAACCGACUCACCAAAAUAUCCUUCAACUAUCCAACAACCCAUUCAAAAUUCGAUUUCGAAUUUCGAAUUUCGAAUUUCCAAUCAAUUCCCAAAAUAUCCUCCAACAACCCAUUCAAAAUUCGAUUUCGAAUUUCGAAUUCCCAACCAACUCCCAAAAUAUCCUCCAACAAUCCAUUCAAAAUUCGAAUUUCGAAUUUCGAAUUCCCAACCAACUCCCAAAAUAUCCUCCAACAAUCCAUUCAAAACUAAUUUCUAAAAUAUCCUCCAACAACCUAUUCAAAAUUCGAAUUUCGAAUUUUGAAUUCCUAACAAAUUUCCAAAAUAUCCUCGAACAACCCAUUCAAAAUUCAAAUUUCGAAUUUUGAAUUCCAACCAAUUUCCAAAAUACCCUCCAACCAUCGAACAACCCAUUCAAAAUUCGAUUUCGAAUUUCGAAUUCCCGACAAAAUCCCAAAUAUCUUUCAACCAACCACAACAACCUAUUCAAAAUUCAAAUUCGAAUUUCGAAUCCCUCAAAAUAUCUCUCACCACCCCUCCCAUUAUAAAUACGAGAACCGAAAUCAAACUCGGGAAUAAUUUUUUGACGGAGACGAU